rnacentral:piRNA from 1 species
UGACCAAGGUGUCACCAUGUACUGCA